CUUCCUCCCUUCCUCCCCCGGCGCUCACAACUGCCGCCCCCCUGCGCUCCGCUCCGCUCCGCUCUCUUCCCUUCGCCCGUGGCGGCGGCGAGGACGGGGACGGGGACCCCGGAUGCUGCUCCGCGGCCCGGACGGCCGAGCUGAUGGACCCAACAUGGCGGCGCCGAGCCUGAGCAGAGAGAGGGGCCGCAGGACGCCGAGCAGCUGGCAAAGCCCACCGGAGCCGACGGGGACCGAGCGCAGGAGCCCCGCGGCCUGACCCGCCCUUCCCCGGACCCCACCCCGCCCCUCCCCGCCU